rnacentral:rRNA from 1 species
UAGGGAAUCUUCCGCAAUGGACGCAAGUCUGACGGAGCAACGCCGCGUGAGUGAAGAAGGAUUUCGGUUCGUAAAACUCUGUUGUUAGAGAAGAACAGCGCAUAGAGUAACUGUUAUGCGUGUGACGGUAUCUAACAAGAAAGGGACGGCUAACUACGUGCCAGCAGCCGCGGUAAUACGUAGGUCCCGAGCGUUGUCCGGAUUUAUUGGGCGUAAAGCGAGCGCAGGCGGUUAGAAAAGUCUGAAGUGAAAGGCAGUGGCUCAACCAUUGUAGGCUUUGGAAACUGUUUAACUUGAGUGCAGAAGGGGAGAGUGGAAUUCCAUGUGUAGCGGUGAAAUGCGUAGAUAUAUGGAGGAACACCAGUGGCGAAGGCGACUCUCUGGUCUGUAACUGACGCUGAGGCUCGAAAGCGUGGGUAGCAAACAGG